rnacentral:tRNA from 1 species
CGCGGGGUGGAGCAGCCCGGUAGCUCGUCAGGCUCAUAACCUGAAGGUCGCAGGUUCAAAUCCUGCUCCCGCAA